rnacentral:rRNA from 1 species
UAGCGAUCUGGGACAAGUCCCUUGGAAAAGGGCAGCAUAGAGGGUGAUACUCCCGUCUCUGCUCAGAUUGUCUGUGUGUACGAUACGCUUUCUUUGAGUCGAGUUGUUUGGGAAUACAGCUCAAAGUAGGUGGUAAAUUCCAUCUAAAGCUAAAUAUUGGUGCGAGACCGAUAGCGAACAAGUACCGUGAGGGAAAGAUGAAAAGAACUUUGAAAAGAGAGUUAAAGAGUACCUGAAACUGUUGAAAGGGAACCGUAACAUUUCCAGUGUUGUAUCCUGUGCAUAUUUCAUUAGCGGAGUAAUUUGCUGGUGCCCUGUGCAUGGGUGUGACGUCAGGGUCAGUUUGUAUGCUGCGGGAGAUGGUUAGUAAGGAGGUGCGUCACUUCGGUGAAAGUUAUACCUUGCUAUCUAGUAGCCGUGGUUGAGACUGAGGUGCCUACAACAUGCCUUGAGGUUCGGUGUUGUCUCGUUGUGGUGACUGCUUGGAUAGCUUGCUAUGUCUGUGGUUAAUUAUGGCGAUUGAUGAUGUCGAUAACUUCUGCUGUUCGGGACUCUGGCGAAAUGGAGUGUUACGACCCGUCUUGAAACACGGACCAAGGAGUCUAACAUGUGUGCAAGUAUUAGGGCGUGGAAACCCAAAUGCGUAAUGAAAGUAAAUGGUGCUUAUGCAUCUGUGGUAGGAAAGGGCUGUAAUGGUCCUGGCACUAUCGACCGAUCAUGAACCUACGGGUGAAAGAUUUGAGUAUGAGCAUAUAUGUUGGUACCCGAAAGAUGGUGAACUAUGCCUGAAUAGGGUGAAGCCAGGGGAAACUCUGGUGGAAGCUCGUAGCGAUUCUGACGUGCAAAUCGAUCGUCAAAUUUGGGUAUAGGGGCGAAAGACUAAUCGAACCAUCUAGUAGCUGGUUCCCUCCGAAAUUUCCCUCAGGAUAGCAGCAACUUUUUACGAUAG